ACGGAAGGCAGCAGUGGGGAAUAUUGCACAAUGGGGGAAACCCUGAUGCAGCGACGCCGCGUGAAGGAAGAAGUAUCUCGGUAUGUAAACUUCUAUCAGCAGGGAAGAAAGUGACGGUACCUGGCUAAGAAGCCCCGGCUAACUACGUGCCAGCAGCCGCGGUAAUACGUAGGGGGCAAGCGUUAUCCGGAUUUACUGGGUGUAAAGGGAGCGUAGACGGCAAGACAAGUCUGAAGUGAAAGGCAUGGGCUCAACCUGUGGACUGCUUUGGAAACUGCCUUGCUUGAGUGCCGGAGGGGUAAGCGGAAUUCCUAGUGUAGCGGUGAAAUGCGUAGAUAUUAGGAGGAACACCAGUGGCGAAGGCGGCUUACUGGACGGUAACUGACGUUGAGGCUCGAAAGCGUGGGGAGCAAACAGGAUUAGAUACCCUGGUA
rnacentral:rRNA from 1 species